GACGAACGCUGGCGGCGUGCUUAACACAUGCAAGUCGAACGAUGAAGCGGUGCUUGCACCGUGGAUUAGUGGCGAACGGGUGAGUAACACGUGAGUAACCUGCCUUCCACUCUGGGAUAAGCGCUGGAAACGGCGUCUAAUACUGGAUAUGACAUUGCCUCGCAUGGGGUGGUGUGGAAAGAUUUUUUGGUGGUAGAUGGACUCGCGGCCUAUCAGCUUGUUGGUGGGGUAAUGGCCUACCAAGGCGACGACGGGUAGCCGGCCUGAGAGGGUGACCGGCCACACUGGGACUGAGACACGGCCCAGACUCCUACGGGAGGCAGCAGUGGGGAAUAUUGCACAAUGGGCGAAAGCCUGAUGCAGCGACGCCGCGUGAGGGAUGACGGCCUUCGGGUUGUAAACCUCUUUCAGCUCUGACGAAGCUUUUUGUGACGUAGGAGCAGAG
rnacentral:rRNA from 1 species